rnacentral:rRNA from 1 species
GCCCUUCAGGUAUUGGAGGCAUUGCCUGCCAGUGACAACUGUUUAACGGCCGCGGUAUCCUGACCGUGCAAAGGUAGCAUAAUCAUUUGUUCUCUAAAUAAGGACUUGUAUGAAUGGCCGCACGAGGGUUUUACUGUCUCUUACUUCCAAUCAGUGAAAUUGACCUUCCCGUGAAGAGGCGGGAAUGCACAAAUAAGACGAGAAGACCCUAUGGAGCUUUAACUAACCAACCCAAAGAGAAUAGAUUUAACCAUUAAGGAAUAACAACAAUCUCCAUGAGUUGGUAGUUUCGGUUGGGGUGACCUCGGAGAAUAAAAAAUCCUCCGAGCGAUUUUAAAGACUAGACCCACAAGUCAAAUCACUCUAUCGCUCAUUGAUCCAAAAACUUGAUCAACGGAACAAGUUACCCUAGGGAUAACAGCGCAAUCCUAUUCAAGAGUCCAUAUCGACAAUAGGGUUUACGACCUCGAUGUUGGAUCAGGACAUCCUGAUGGUGCAACCGCUAUCAAAGGUUCGUUUGUUCAACGAUUAAAGUCCUACGUGAUCUGAGUUCAGACCGGA